AUAGAUUUCCUACUUUCCCUUAGGCUUUAUUUCCUCUGCCCAGAUUUUAUUUUAUUCUCCCUGUGCAUUUAUUCAUCUUUAUUUCAUUUAUUCACUUUUCCUGCUUGCCAUAGUUUCCUCUUUCCUUCCCUGCUUCUUUUUCAACUUCUCCUUGCCUUUCCUCUUAUUCUCACUGGCUUUCCUCUUACCCUUCUAAGGCUCUUACUAAUCUCCUUGUGUACUCAGAACCUCCUCUUGCUUACUCUUACUAAUAGAAGGACAACUUACUUUCAUUGCUUUAUUGAAGAGUGACAGACUGCAAAUGAAGGAUAAAGAGUCAUUCUGUACGUCCGAGUGUCUCAAUAUGAAUAAAGAAUAGAAAUAAGGAGUCAUUCUGUACAUGCAAGUGUCUCAAUAAAGAACCGGUGAAUUUAUUUAAGCUUUUAUUUAAAUCGAUGGAUAACAAGUCUGGUAAAAAUAGACAGACCCACUCACAGACUUAAUUCAACUAUACACUUUUAUUAUUAUUAUUAUUAUUAUUAUUAUUAUUAUUAUUAUUAUUAUUAUUAUUAUUCUGUUUUCUUUUCACUGAGCUGAUUGAGUUAUAUAAUGUAAUGGAGUAAUUAUUAAUAGGCCGAGGUAUUAUACAAUGGCAAGUGAGAAUUUCUGUACAAUAUACUACAAAUACACUGAGACUGAAGGGAAUGAGGGGGGGGGAGACGAGGGACACUGGAGGAGAGAUGAGAGACAAGAGACGAGAGAGACAGAGACACAGAGAGGCAAAAAUAAAGACAGAGAGAGAGACAGAGAUAGUUAACAGAAGAGAGACUGAGGUGAGGGAGGGAGAUAAGAGACAAUGGAGGAGAGAGAGAGAGAGAGAGAGAGAGAGAGAGAGAGAGAGAGAGAGAGAGAGAGAGAGAGAGAGAUAGACAGACAAGGAGAUACAUAUUUCAACAUUUCUCUAUCUAAUUCUUCCCUUCACUGUAUUUAAAUCUGGUGUGUGUGUGUGUGUGUGUGUGUGUGUGUGUGUGUGUGUGUGUGUGUGUGUGUGUGUGUGUGUGUGUGUGUGUGUGUGUGUGUGUGUGUG